UCAAAUUCAUGUGAUCUCAUUCAAACCACAGCUCUAACUUUUUUCUUUUACUAUCAUCUUAGACCAAAGCACGUGCUCUGACAACCCAUGCCGACCCUCACUUCCUGUGAAAGCGUAAACACACACACACUCACACACACACACACGUUCCCCACCUAGGCACUAUGUGUUUGAGGGCGAGGAAGGUGCGAGACGAGCUUUCAAGUCAUCCAGUCGACUGGCAUCACUCUCUUUUAAUUCUCAUUUCUGGUAAGGUGAACCCUGGCCUCUGUCGUUUCCUCUACAUCAUGUUAAACAUGCAGAGAAGUGUCAGAGGUGUGUGGUUUUCUCAGAAAUGUGGUAAGAGCGGAGUAAAGGCCAAAUGGAUUCUGUCAAGGCACUUUUCUCUUCUUCUUUCCUUUUAUGAAGAAAGAAAUGAACAUCGGAAAGUUACACUCAGCUCAUCAGGAAUCAAAACGGAUAUCACUUUUCAGUUCUUGUGCUUUGUAGAAUUGUCACAACUUCACUUUUUUUGCUGGAUUAUGGUCAUGUUAAAAAAACAGCCCCUGCAGAAAAAGCUGCCUGAGUCUCGGUAUUCACUCAGGACCGAUAAAUAAGUGUCUGCCCAAUGAUUUGAUUGUGCGUACAUGUUAAAUCACCUUAACGCUAUACUUUAUCUAAAUCAUUUACUCAUUCGAUGAGUGUGAGAGGAGCUAGCAUCUGUUAUAGAGAUUAAAGAAGUGACCUGCCAUUGUCAUAAGGAAGAGAGAAAGUGUAUCUAUUUUACACAAUAUGGAAAAAUGACCAGCAUGCUCUCUAUCACGCUACAACGUGCUGUGGAUAAGCUUCUGUGAGGCAUUCUGUAAAAUGCAGGAUGUUUACUGUAUGAUCAUUUCAAAUCUGUUACUCAGAUAGCUGACGAACCUACUGUACCACUACCUACGUACUAACACUAUAACCAUAACUGCACCUCUUGUAUGGAAUACUGUUUGAGACAACAUUUUAUAAAUAAAUAGAUUAAUAAAUAAUUAAAUAUGGCUAUGAAAUAAACCGUUUUUAAGUGUGAACUGGCACAACACGCCAGUUCACACUUAAAAACGGUUUAUUUCAUAGCCAUAAAAAGAACGAGUUCAAAGUUGAGUUCAUGUAGAUGUAUGAACUAGUUCACGUUCACAUUUGUUCCCUUUUUAAUGGGAUGAUUAACGUGACAAACUUACGAUCAUGUGUUUAGUUAUUAAUCGAUGGUGUCGGAUCAGGUCUGUGUGUCGCUCCACUCAUUCUAACACUGAGUCCUGACUUUAUGCGUCAAGUCUCGUGUUGUACUGAGCACAACAUGUUGACCAGUCAUUUUCAUGAUGUUUAAAUGCAGCCUCAUAAACUCUGGAGUGAACCAAACAGACACUUAGUUACUUCAUGUGCUGAUCAGGUCCUGAUAACUAGUGCCAACAUGCCAAGUUUGAAGUUAAUAAUCGGAUGAGAUUGCGAGAUAUGGUUUACACAUCCAAACAGACAGACGUUUGUGGAAAUAAGAGGUCGAUGAGAGUUAUAUUUACUUUAUUGUCUUUUAUAAAAACAACACAAUUGCACAAGUUCCAAAUAUACUUUGAAUUACAUGAUUUGAAGAAAAAAAAUUAGGGCUGUGAAAUGAUUACAAUUUUUAAUCAAAUUAAUCACAGGUUUCUAUGGAUUAAUCAUGAUUAAUCACAUUACCGAUUUUUUCGGAAUAUUUUUGUGAAAACAAGAUUUAUGACAUUUAACUUUUCUUUUGUGCUGCAACUCAGCAGUUCUUCAGCAGUUAUCAUUGCUUUUCCAUAUGGAACAUUAAUAUAAUCUUCAUCCUAAACAGAAUUCGGGUUCCUUAGCCAUUGUGUGGUUGAAUAAAACUUUUUUUUUUUUUUAAAUUAAACAGAAAUUAUUUGAGCUUCUUAGCCAUAGGAUGGUUGACAUUUUUUAUAUUUUUUGUCACACAACCAUUAACCACACCGUGAUACAAUCUAAUGCCUCUAAAGGCCCUCUUAGCUACUCGGUCUUUAGCCAGUUGGUGAGGCAAACUAACUUGUUCAAAUUCUCUGACAGUAAAGCUGACCGCUUCUUUUGCACAAUG